UUAGGAGGGAAAUGGGUAAAAUGAGUAUAGGUGCUUCACAUGUGCCAUUAUUACUGGGACUCUCAAGGAAAAGAUUUUUGGGUGAAAUAUGCAAUCGUGCCAAUCCAGUUGAGAGAGAUGUUGCUACUGUUGCAGCUGUGACAGCUGGGAUUUUGAACGGAGCUAACAUAGUAAGGGUCCAUAAUGUUGGAUAUGGUGCAGAUGCUGCAAAGGUUUGUGAUGCAUUGCGUGAGGGCAGAAGAUGAUGGGAAAACUGAACUACCUGAUCAAAUAGAUACCAAACUCCAGUUUUGUACAAGAAAAUGGUGAUGUAGGAUAGCUACUCUGCUGCUAAAUGGGAUUAUCAUAUUACACCAUGGGUGGAUUAUCAUUGUUAUAAUAAACCAGGGAUGUUGUUUUGUCUUGUGUCAUCUCCUUUCUAAAAUCUUCAUUGAAGCAUGGAUUGAACUCAGAUGACUUGGAAAAGAGUAACCAAGGAACAAGGUUGCAAAAGCUGCUAGUAAGUUGCAGAUAGUUAUCCUUUUGGUCCUAUCUUAGAUAAUUUUUCAGGAACAUUUUUUUUCCAAUUUAACAACAUCAGAAGGAUUUUGACAUUUCAGAAUUUCAAAUUGUCGACAAGUAUGAUUUGUUUGUAUCUUUUCUACUUCAAAUACAUAUAUUGGAUAGAUUGGAGUUAUACCAGCUUCCCUGCUUCUCCCUGUAACUUCAUCAUUUGGACCUUUGUAUACCCAAUGAGGAAACGUCAUGUAUUGCAAGUGCCGUAUGACAUGCAAAGUCUCAAGGCUUGAUCUAUGAUUUACCUUGGUUCUGAGGGUUUUAUCAUCUAUUUAUGAAACCUACUUGUUUACUGAUAAAGAAUUGUCAGCACGUCUCAUAUAGAUUUGUUUUCGUUCUGAACUGCUGUUGAUUGUAUUUUUUUCUUUAAAGAAACUCCGUUGGUAUUUGGUGCCUCCUAGUCUUUGUUGUCUUUGUCCACUGCUGAAAUUUAAGAACUGAAACUGCCGGAUGAUUGAACCAUCACUAAGAUGGCUGUUGUCCAUGAUAUCAACUCAGAUUCUGAUGACUUCUUUCCUCUGUCUUUUAAUUUGGCUAGUUAGUGGAUUUUUCUAUAAAAUAUAUACUACAUUCACCCAAUUUUAUGCAACACAUUUGGGGAAAUACAAAAAGGAAAAAAAGAACGUUAAAGGAUGCCUGAUGAUGAGGCCUUAACAUAGCAAGUGCCGUAUGAUUCCUCGGCAAACGCCGAAGGGAGUGAUAUGACCAAUUGUCUCUGAGGGUCAAAGGUUUUGUUUUCGUUCCCUGAAGUGCAGUACUCAUCAGGAUGAACUGUCGGAAUUGAGUCGUAAUGUACAUUCCAAAUUCUUCAGGCCAGACAUGGAGAAGUGAAUUCACAUCAGACAACAAAGGACGAAUGUGGAAGUUGAGAUGGAACCGGCAACCAGCAUCCAAGAAUCUGAUUGUUCCUAUCUGACUUGUGUCGCAGUUUUGAUGAAGGCUCGCAAACGAAAGGGACAUAAAUCCUGAAUCAUUCCCUGAAUGAACUCUAAGUCCUUUCACGCUUUUGAAAUUAUGUUUUGGUGAUUAAUGUUAACAUGAUCAAUGAGACUAACAAGAUUUGCUAGUAUGCAAAUAUUUAUUCUUAUGUAUGUAGAAGAUGAACUUAGGGUUAUAAACAUCAUCAAGGUGAAAGAAGAGUUUCAUGAGGAUAUAAAAACAUAUUAUUUAGGCAAGUGAUUGUGGUGUUGAGAGCAUCACUUGUGUAUAUAUAUUUGUUUUUUCUUACCAUACUAAAAAGAGGAUUUGAGUUUAAUA